rnacentral:rRNA from 1 species
CCUACGGGGUGCAGCAGUGGGGAAUAUUGGACAAUGGGGGCAACCCUGAUCCAGCCAUGCCGCGUGUGUGAAGAAGGCCUUUUGGUUGUAAAGCACUUUAAGCAGUGAAGAAGACUCUAGGGUUAAUACCCCUAGACGAUGACAUUAGCUGCAGAAUAAGCACCGGCUAACUCUGUGCCAGCAGCCGCGGUAAUACAGAGGGUGCAAGCGUUAAUCGGAAUUACUGGGCGUAAAGCGAGCGUAGGUGGCUUGAUAAGUCAGAUGUGAAAUCCCCGGGCUUAACCUGGGAACUGCAUCUGAUACUGUUGAGCUAGAGUAGGUGAGAGGGAAGUAGAAUUCCAGGUGUAGCGGUGAAAUGCGUAGAGAUCUGGAGGAAUACCGAUGGCGAAGGCAGCUUCCUGGCAUCAUACUGACACUGAGGCUCGAAAGCGUGGGUAGCAAACAGGAUUAGAUACCCUCGUAGUC